UACGAAGGGGGCUAGCGUUGUUCGGAAUUACUGGGCGUAAAGCGCACGUAGGCGGAUUUGUAAGUCAGGGGUGAAAUCCCGGGGCUCAACCUCGGAACUGCCUUUGAUACUGCAAGUCUUGAGUCCGAUAGAGGUGAGUGGAAUUCCUAGUGUAGAGGUGAAAUUCGUAGAUAUCAGGAGGAACACCGAUGGCGAAGGCAGGUCUCUGGGCAUUAACUGACGCUGAGGAGCGAAAGCAUGGGAGCGAACAGG
rnacentral:rRNA from 1 species